UACAGAGGGUGCAAGCGUUAAUCGGAAUUACUGGGCGUAAAGCGCGCGUAGGUGGUUUGAUAAGUUGGAUGUGAAAGCCCCGGGCUCAACCUGGGAAUUGCAUCCAAAACUGUCUGACUAGAGUACGGUAGAGGGUAGUGGAAUUUCCUGUGUAGCGGUGAAAUGCGUAGAUAUAGGAAGGAACGCCAGUGGCGAAGGCGACUACCUGGACUGAUACUGACACUGAGGUGCGAAAGCGUGGGGAGCAAACAGG
rnacentral:rRNA from 1 species